rnacentral:rRNA from 1 species
AUCUUUUGACUAAGCUUGACCUAAGGUGAGCAACCCGUGCCGCCAAACCCAAGGAAAGAAGAAAGGCCAACGACGUGGAGCUGGAGGUGAAAGGGUGAAGCGCCGGCCCGGCCGCAGGUACCGUUGCGGCAGCGUGCGCGUGCCCGAGGGCGAGCACGGGGAGGCCUGCGAGGACGAGCGGAACGGCGAGAACAGCGAGUAGGAGGAGGAGUGCGACGUGGAGGGCGGCGCGGUGGUGGGCCGGGGAGGACGGGGGGAGUAGGAGGGGUGCGGGGAGGCCUGGUGGCGGCGGCGGCGGGUCGGAUUCGGGUUCCGGCUGGGGAGGAGGAGGAGCAGCGGGAGCGGCUGCUGCGAGAGCGUGCACCACAAGCCCCACCGGAGGAGGGCGGCGUGCGACGGCGACGCGGAGGGAGAGGAGGCGGAGACCGAGGUGGGCGGGCGCGCGCGGAAGGAGAAGGAGCUGCGCGGCGGGGCGCGACGGAGGCAGGGCCGCUUGGAGGUGGAGGCGCAGAGGGCGCUGCGGAGGGCGAAGGGGAUGAGGAUGGCCUUCCCGGAGGGGAGGCGCCAGGCGCAGCGCGCAUAGCGGUUCCUCGAGGAGGAGCUCGAGGCGGUCGUCGUCGUCGUGGUCAGCGGCGGCGGCUCCACCGAGCACGAGCGGCUGCUACUGUGGCGGAAGCAGGAGGGGUUGGAGGAGGUGUGGGAGAGAUUCAUGCUGACCGUGCUCGGUACCAUGGAGCCGCGCGGAAGGCUCAGGCGGCGCGUCUUGCAGACCGUGCCGAAGUUGUACCGGAUACCGCCGCCGCCGUAGCGGUAGUCGACCGGGGAGCGUCGCGCGGACCGGGCGCACGAACUGAGGACGUAGUAGUCCAUGGGGGUGGAGAUGCCGUCGCUGAGGUCCUAGAUGCGGACGGAGCGGCUCGAGCCGCAGCUCGAGUGGGUGCUCGGUCCUAAGGUGGUCCAGUCCACGUGGCGGCGGAGAGAAAAAGGGGAAGAUGAGGCUUAAAGAGAAACGGAGACGUACACGAUGACGAUAAAGGAACACCUUACAAAGAUGUCUCUAACGACCCUUUAGUUGACACACAAAGAUAACCUACGAUCAAGUAUCAAUACCCCUUUAACUAUUUCGUGAGAAACCAUGAGGACCAGGAACUAAUACAAAAUAAAUACGGAGUAUUAGCGUUAGUGCUGUUACUAACAAGAUCUAUUAACUUCAGACGGGUCCUAACAGUACAACGACAAGUCAGAAAGAACUAAGUAGGAUCCUAACAACAACUCUCCCUUUGAACAGAGAUCACAGUUUGAAACUUAUUAUGAGGCUCCCCUUGAUAACCACUCUCUGACUUUCCAAACUUAAUUUGAGAGUUCAUGAUGUUAAAAACAGACUUACUUAAGACAAUAUGUAAUAAAGUCUCGUAUCCAAUUUUCGAAUAGGAGAUGGUACGGGAGUUCUAUGCGGCUUGGUGUGCUGUGGUUAGGACAUCUUACGAAGAUUUCUUUUACAUGUUGGUGUCGAUGUGGUGGUCCCACUACCAAUGACCGAUUGACGACGUGAGAGGAUCACGACUUAGGCAAGUUUUAGACACAGUGACCUAAAUCACUAGGAACGACCAUGGAGAUGUCUAAAACUGCACUACCGUGAACUCUCCCCGCAAGACCAGGUGUAAACCUCAUGAUCCGCUGGUAACACCGUAUGACCUUAUACAGGGACAGUCUAUAGGAUUUCGAAGCCCGUAACGUCAGAACUACGUAACCUUUUCGUUAAAACGGCUUUAUUUGCAGUCACACUCGUCGUCGUCUUGUCACUGGACCUGUACCAACUUCAUAGGUAGAGAAAGACGAGGUAACUAAACGAAAAAAUUGUUAAGCCUCCUGGUUACAAUACAUCCCCGAAGGAAAUACGGGUUAUCUCCGGAGGAAAUAGACAUCAAACGUGGUUACUUUGGAUCUCGUACCGACGACAAAAAGUUUUUUUUUUUGAGAAAUAAGUUAGAAACUUGUACUUUGAUCGGACACCAAAAUGAACUUUAACACGUGUGUCUUUUCCGUACUAAGACUUGAAUACACCCGACAACGUAAAAUAAUAGAGGUCUAGCUGGAAGUACCCCUAUAUAGACCUAAAGAUUCUCGUGUAGGAGAACGAGGAAAUCACAGUGAAGUGGUGGAACUAGUACAGAUAGGAGAAAUGGGACCAUACCUAGCACGUUUCCGCCAACUCGUAAACAAGGCUCGUCGAUUACGACUGGGUCGCUCCUAGGAAGUUGUUUGUCACACGAUACUGGUAAGUUCUAGUGAAUGACGAAGUCAUCGUACCCCGAUAAGACAGGUCCAAAAGUUUCCGUUACAUGACGAAGGACUGUAGGAACGACACGUUUUUUGGAAACACGGUACCUCUUCUCCAGCGUUACAAUGCCUACAAAAAUACAAAUCGUGGUUCGUAAUAGGUUCCCUGCUCACGUUUGCUCGACGAGAAAAGAAGGAUUUUUCAUAAAGAAGGCCGUUUCCGUUCUGCCUUUCGUUAAUGUCAUCCGUCGACGGGGUCUUUACGAACGGUUUGAACUAAGUCAACUCCUUAUACGUUGUUUAUUUUCACUCUAGUCUCGAUGACGUAGACCAAGGACCCUUCCGAAAUUCUGCUGUGACGACACUGUAGCAUGGAAGAAGUAGACUUUAGUGGUACCUGUAACUGUAGUCCUUUACGUUUCUACUACUUAACUAGCGCUACGUAAGCAUCACUAAGAACUUAUUAUAACCUAUGAGUAAACCUCAUCUAUUAAAUGUCGUACAAGAGCUUAUGUGGAUUAAACGAAAACAAUAUAUGCCUGGUGUGACAGGGUGAAGUAAAACCCAGACAUCCAGAUACAUCUCAAUUUCGUUGUAUGACACUACGUGGUAAUGGGUUUCAUUAUAUCACUUAGUAAAAUCUAUGACAUAAACUGUACACAAGAUCGAACGCUAAAUAGAUCGUAGACAACUUCAUACUUCCGACGUGCAGUUCCUGUAGAUCUUCUAGAGGUUGACUUGUGUAUACUAUAUCAUCAACAAUCCCUCAUCAAUCUCCAAAUAAGAGACAACAUUAAGAGGAGAUAGAGGAGGACAUUUAGAAGAGGGGUCAAUGUUGACUUUGGGGUGACAUACGUCGAUACCCUAUUCGGGGUAGGAUAGUUAUAUUCGGGUACGCCCGACGCCGGGAGAAGCCUCCCACCCUGCGAAGUGUGUU